AAUUCUCAAGCCCUUGUUCCAGCUUCUUGUUGGAUGGGUUAGCUUGGAUGUGGAGGUUGUUUGCGGGCUUUGCAAGCCAACUCCUCUGAAAUGUAUUAGCGGAACUGUUUGCGAUCCGUCACAGGUGUGAUAAUUAUCUACAUCCAUGGGUUGCUUUCAUAGUUCAGCUUCUAACUGUCCCAUUCCAAUGGACAAACUUAAUACCGAAC
rnacentral:misc_RNA from 1 species